CGCGUAGGCGGUUUUUUAAGUCAGAUGUGUAAAUCCCCCGAGCUUAAACUUGGGAACUGCAUCUGAGACUGGAAGGCUAGAGUACUGGAGAGGGUGGUGGAAUUCCUCGUGUAGCGGUGAAAUGCGUAGAGAUGAGGAGGAACACCAGUGGCGAAGGCGGCCACCUGGACAGUAACUGACGCUGAGGCGCGAAAGUGUGGGUAGCAAACAGGAUUAGAUACCCUGGUAGUCCACGCUGUAAACGAUGAACACUUGGUGUGGAGGGAGUUGACCCCUUCCGUGCCGGAGCUAACGCGUUAAGUGUUCCGCCUGGGGAGUACGGUCGCAAGGCUGAA
rnacentral:rRNA from 1 species